rnacentral:rRNA from 1 species
AUUGAACGCUGGCGGCAGGCCUAACGCAUGCAAGUCGAACGAAGUCUUCGGACUUAGUGGCGGACAGGUGAGUAACACGUGGGAACGUGCCCUUUGGUACGGAAUAACUCAGGGAAACUUGAGCUAAUACCGUAUGUGCCCUUCGGGGGAAAGAUUUAUCGCCAUUGGAGCGGCCCGCGUCUGAUUAGCUAGUUGGUGAGGUAAAGGCUCACCAAGGCUACGAUCAGUAGCUGGUCUGAGAGGAUGACCAGCCACAUUGGGACUGAGACACGGCCCAAACUCCUACGGGAGGCAGCAGUGGGGAAUCUUGCGCAAUGGGCGAAAGCCUGACGCAGCCAUGCCGCGUGGAUGAUGAAGGUCUUAGGAUUGUAAAAUCCUUUCACCGGUGAAGAUAAUGACUGUAGCCGGAGAAGAAGCCCCGGCUAACUUCGUGCCAGCAGCCGCGGUAACAC